rnacentral:rRNA from 1 species
UACGUAGGUGACAAGCGUUGUCCGGAUUUACUGGGCGUAAAGAGCGCGCAGGCGGUCGAUCAAGUCGAGUGUGAAAGCCCCCGGCUCAACUGGGGAGGGUCAUUCGAUACUGAUCGACUCGAAGGCAGGAGAGGGUAGUGGAAUUCCCGGUGUAGUGGUGAAAUGCGUAGAUAUCCGGAGGAACACCGGUGGCGAAGGCGGCUUCCUGGACCGAUUACUGACGCUGAGGCGCGAAAGCUAGGGGAGCAAACGGG